CCUUUCCUGGAUGGUGCCUGGAAGCUUCUCACCAUAUAUUAUGACGUGGGGAGCUAGGGCUGCUUCACUGUCUCAGGAACCCAAUGCUGCUCCAGCACACACUGUAGAGAAAGAUAAAUGUGACCUCAUGAGGAUCAGAGAUGUGUAAGAGUGAUAAAAAGAGAUUAUAUCCCAGAGCUGGACUAGGCCUGGUAGCCUGAAUAUCACAUAUCUUUUGUGCAGACUGCAAAAAAUGUAUAUGAAUGUUCAUACUAAUGAGCAGACAUUUCUGAAGGCAC
rnacentral:lncRNA from 1 species